rnacentral:lncRNA from 1 species
AUUCGCUCCCUCCUCACCCAGCUGUCAGGGCGCCGCGAAGCCGGUGCGAAGCUGCGGAGGACGUUUUCAACGUGCCAGAGGGAGCGCAAACUCCAUGGAGAUUCCUAGCGCAGAAGGAAUUCCUGCGGUCGGGAAUUUCUUGAAAAAGAUUCUUCGCAGGGGCCCUGAGCCGAUAAUGCUGAAAUUAACAUCUUUGGAUAUACAAUUCUCUGCUUCUGAAGAAUGAAAAGAUAAAUAACAGAGCUAAGAAAGGGACUGAUGAAACUUACAACAGCAGGUCUCAAAUUUUUGGUCUCAGGACCCCUUUAUGCUCUUAAAAAUGAUUGACAGCCUCCAAGAGCUUUUGUUCAUGCUUUGGUAAGGCUGUGAGAGCACAGAGCUGAAUUAGGGAUCUUGGACUUCAAGUUACUGACUAGCCCCAGCACUCGCCAAGCUCACAAAGAAGACAGAAACGAGGUAAACAUCCAACCAUGUUUAUGGAAGAGUUCAUCUCUCUGUCAGCAUUACGU